rnacentral:lncRNA from 1 species
GGGGAGGGGUCAGUGCCACAUGAAUCACGUAAAUUGAUUGUGGAUAAGGGGCUUCCUGGAAGAAAACUAGGGAGAUGUUAACAGAAGAAGAGGAACUGAAAGAUUGUCAGGUAAAAACAACUAAUUUCCUCUACAAAUAGGAAAGUGCCUUUUGCAACCGCUCCUUAUCAGUUUCCAACAACUGCUGGAAUCAAAGCAAUUGAUUGUUUUCUAUGUGCCAGGCACUAUGCCACGUGUUUUACAUGGCUCCAAGUUCCCCAGCAUUCCUCUGGGGAAGAUUCCAUUACUCUCACCUUUUUUUUUUCUUUUUUUUUUUUGAGGUGGAGUCUCGCUCUGUCACCCAGGCUGGAGUGCAGUGGCAUGAUUUCUGCUCACCGCAACCUCCACCUCCCAGGUUCAAGCGAUUCUCCUGCCUCAGCCUCCUGAGCAGCUGGUAUUACAGGCGUCUGCCAUCAUGCCCAGCUAACUUUUGUAUUUUUAGUAGAGACAGGGUUUCACCAUGUUGGCCAGGCUGGUCUUGAACGCCUGACUUGAAGUGACCGCCGACCUCGGCCUCCCAAAGUGCUGGGAUUACAGGCAUGAUCCAACGUGGCCGGCUCACCCUUUUUACAUGUAGGAAACUAAGACUUGGAGACUUUGGAUAACAUUGCAAAAGUCAUGUAGCUAUUAGGGGGUGACCCUGGAUCCUGGGCCAGGUCUGCUAACAUCAGUGCCCACUAUACUGUCCUUGUAUUUCUCCCCAGUCUCCCAACCAGCCAGUCUGUCCCUGUCUACCUUGAUUUGACCCUUUCAUUGACAUGCAUAAUUUCUUGGAGUGGUAACUUUUUUUUUUUUUUUUUUUUUUUAACAUUUCAGGGCUUCUCCUAGGGAUAACCUCUGCUUCCUGCUGAGUUCUGGAUCUAGAGCACAGGCAGGUUUCCUCCCCUUUCUCCUGUAGCUACUGAACUCUGACUUUGUAGUGGUGGAGUGUCUGGGGCCCAAGAGAGAUUUCUGUCCUUCACCUGGCAAUAGUAGACCGCUAAUUUAUAUCAGAGUGUGUUUCUUGCCCCUCCCCCAGGGGCAGACAGGCACUACCUUGUCCUCAGACAAGGCUCAAAGCAUGAAUGGGCUUCCCUAGGUAUGCCUGCUCCACCCUAAAACCUUGGCAGGUGCUGUAGGGCUGUACCACCAAGGGGGAAGGGUCUCCCAGGCCUACUGUGCUGUUUCCAGUCUUUCUCAUGCAUGCCGAGUAGAGGCCAGUGGAAAAGGAUGGCAAGCAGAUGGGGAUUUCUCUGUGUCCAGCGUGCUCAGGGCUUCUAAACUGCCAUGCUAGCUUAUCCUUUGCCGGUAAGAAUUUGUUUUCUUCUUAUCCAGUUUUCUGAUGAUUGUCUGUUCUUCCCAUUCUCUGCCAAAAGAGGAAACAGCUGGUGUGUCUUGUCCCUUUUUGGAAGGACUUGUGAGCCUUAGGAAUUCAGUUCCCUUGAUUGCUUUGUAUAACAGCGCAAUUCGCUGAUGGACUAAAACAAAAUUAUGGUUUUGUAUGUCUUAUAGGUUAUCCAUUUUUUAAUGUAUUUAUUUGACACAUUGCGGGGUUUUUUUUUGUUUUGUUUUUGAGACAGAGUCUCACUCACUCUGUUACCCAGGCUGGUGCACAGUGGCACAAUCUUGGCUCACUGCAACCAACCUCUGCCUCCCGGGUUCAAGCGAUUCUCCUUCCUCAGCCUCC